UGGGGAAUCUUGCGCAAUGGGCGAAAGCCUGACGCAGCGACGCCGCGUGCGGGAAGAAGGCCUUCGGGUUGUAAACCGCUUUCAGGAGGGACGAAGCCACUCGGGUUAAUAGCCCAGAGGGUGACGGUACCUCCAGAAGAAGCCCCGGCUAACUACGUGCCAGCAGCCGCGGUAAUACGUAGGGGGCAAGCGUUGUCCGGAUUUAUUGGGCGUAAAGCGCGUGUAGGCGGCCAGGUAGGUCGGUUGUGAAAACUGGAGGCUCAACCUCCAGACGUCGACCGAAACCAUCUGGCUAGAGUCCGGAAGAGGAGAGUGGAAUUCCUGGUGUAGCGGUGAAAUGCGCAGAUAUCAGGAAGAACACCGAUGGCGAAGGCAGCUCUCUGGGACGGUACUGACGCUGAGACGCGAAAGCGUGGGGAGCGAACAGG
rnacentral:rRNA from 1 species